GACGAACGCUGGCGGCGUGCUUAACACAUGCAAGUCGAACGGUAUCCAUGUUGUAGCAAUACUUCGGAAGAUCUAGUGGCGAACGGGUGAGGAACACGUGAGAAACCUGCCCCGAACUUCGGGAUAACAGUUGGAAACGACUGCUAAUACCGAAUACCUCUGCGAAGUGGCAUCACUUUGCAAAGAAAGAAUUUCGGUUCGGGUGGGUUUCGCGGCCUAUCAGCUAGUUGGUGGGGUAACGGCCUACCAAGGCAUCGACGGGUAGUGGGUCUGAGAGAAUGAUCAGGCACACUGGGACUGAGACACGGCCCAGACUCCUACGGGAGGCAGCAGUGGGGAAUCUUGUGAAAUGGGCGAAAGCGUGACACAGCAACGCCGCGUGCGGGAAGAAGGCCUUCGGGUCGUAAACCGCUUUCAGCAGGAACGAAAAUGACGGUACCUGCAGAAGAAGGUGCGGCCAACUACGUGCCAGCCGCCGCCGUAA
rnacentral:rRNA from 1 species